GGCCGAGAGAGUACAACCCUGCAGAUAUUAUUCAGAACAGACUGAGACGUAGCGUGAGGCUGUAUCGUUAGCGGUGUCAUAGGUUUGACAGGUUUUCUUUGUUCCUUUUUCAGAGCACAUGAGUUAUUAAUGUCUGUCAGGACCCAGAAUCUUAAAAAGUGGGGAAUCCACUCCCACGCACUCAGCAGCACAAAAACAAUUCACUAGAAAGAUUCAGAUUCAGAUUUGACUCCCUGCAUGUGGCCUCUCAAACAUCCAGAGGAGCAGGAUCAUUUCCUUUCUCCGACAAAUGAUCCCUUGUUAUUUCCUGUCCCUGAUCACAUAAAUGAUUGAAUCCUUGUUGAUAUAAAG